GUAGUUUUCUUUUUUCGUUCUGUACGACCCAACUCGUCUCCCGGGGUUUCUAGGGAUGUGCGGCGUUCUCUUUGCAAGGUCAGUUUAUGCAGGUGCUCGCGAAGAGAUUACCGCAGAUUCCUCAAGCUAACUGCUAUGGAGAGCAGCACUCACAGGCUCUCUUUGUGCAAACCCUGUCUGGGACUCAGGCGUUGUGCCCACAUCCUGGACUGGAUCCACUCUUCGACUUUCUGGAGAAAGUGAAGUUCUCUUUCUAAACAAGAAUUAAAACAAAUAAGCCUACACUGUGUAAGAGAUUGUCUCUGGAAGCUAAACAGUAACAUCUACACAGAAAUGAUACUGCACAAGUAAGCAACAAUCAAGAAGAAAAGCACAGAGAUAAAAAGGAUGGCCUCUUAGAAUUACAGAUAGAAACAAGUAAAGAGCAACCAGAGAGCAAGAAGCCUUUCCAGACCCUGGCAACCACCAUUCUCCUUUCUGCUUCUAUGAGUUUGGCCCUUUCAGAUACCUCAUGGCUGCACCUGUGGCAUAUGGAAGUUCCCAGGACAGGGGUUAAAUCAGAGCUACAGCUUCUGGCCUACAGGACAGCCACAGCAACAUGGGAUCUGAGCCCUGUCUGAGAUCUACACCACAGCUGACGGCAACGCUGGAUCCUUUAACCCACUGUCUGAUUCUUCAAGCCACUUGAUUUUGUCAGGAGAGAGAGACUCCUCAACUCACUCCCCUUCUAAGAAAUAAAAAUAGCACCACAACAUUUGGACCAUUACCAGUUCGCCAUACCCCAGGGAGGCUCCUGUCUGUGAUGUUGCAUUCAUUUCUGAACAAUGGCAUUGUGCUUUGAAAAUCCCAAACAAAAUGCACAGAGAAACACUUGAUGAAUAACAAUGAAACCAGCAGCAUUUAUUUUUGUGUGUGGCAGUCUGUUACAUAUUUUUUAAAUACCUCUUUGCUAAAUUUGGUUUAGGUUUCAAGACACGUUUCCCCUUUAGUGAAAUAAAAAGGUCACUCAGUGAACAAAGGGGAGAUUAUGUCUUCUCGAUGAUCACAGGUGAAACUCAAAAGGCAACCUCUUUCAAAGAAAAUGAGGUAGCAAGUGGAAAAUAAAGGUGGCAGAAUUCUGUAUAUCAGUGCUCAGCAGUAAGGGAUUCUGGCUUUUUUUUUUUUACGUAUACAUAGUAACACAUAGAGUGACCCAGGUGCUGUAUAAACAGAUUUUUAGACAGGCAGUUGGAGCUCCUCGGUAAUUUUCAUUUCUCCCACUCCCUGCUACUCUAUCCUUCAUCAGAUUGAAUACCACCUUCAAGGGCACUGAAGGCAGACAAAAGAAAAAUGUUGGGGGAAGGGACAUGGGAGGAGGAGAAAACAGUUUCCUCUCCUGGCCUUUGUUGACGAAUAAAAGCACACAACAUCUAAAAAUCGUUUACUCUCCAUCUAACAGUGCCAACGUGUUUGACACUGGUUUGCUGAGAAUUUUUAGAGGAAGCCUGUUGACAUUUUAUUCACAUAAGGUUUUUGAAUUAUAUAAGACUUCUUCGAGAUAUGCUGUUGGAUGUGAUCUAAAUUGUCAAGCUUGGAGAAAAAAAAUAAAAAACACCCAGCAACUCAAUAAAUGUUCAUAUGACUACCAGAGUGGAAAGAACAAAAAUAUUUGCUUAUUCUUACCAACACAAUACACCCAUGUAAAAAUAAAAAUAAAAAAUUACACUUUGAGAAGGACAUACAAAUGUUAAAAUUUCCCCCCUUACUUUUAGGCUAAGGAAAGUAGGAUCUGGCUAUAAUAAACACACAGCAGGAUUCUAGAGAUUCUCUCCUUCUGCAGAGGAUAUAUUUUGAAAUAUUAUUUACUCAUUGAAACUACACAUAUAUGUUUUUAAUUGACAAGUACAUAUAUUCAUUAUAGUGAAAUUAGAUAAUACAGAUGAAAAAAAAUGUAAAUACAUGUGGCCUUACUUCUCAGAGAUACAUGUGGUUAAAAUGUUCUAUAUUUUAAAUAUUUUAUUCUGUGUACAUAUAUAUGCAUAAUACAUAUACACAAAUGCCAUAAAAUAAAAUAUUCUGUUUAUGCUGUUUGGUAACCUGUUUGUGAAGUAUUUUGUAAACUCAUUUUUAUGUCAUGUGUCUACUACAUUAUUUUUAAUGGUUUCAUCAUACUCUUGAAUGGACCAUGUUUUUUAUAUAUAUANNNNNNNNNNNNNNNNNNNNNNNNNNNNNNNNNNNNNNNNNNNNNUGUCUAUAUAUAUAUGAAUAUACACAUAUACUAUAUAUAUAUACAUGUAUAUGAAAUGUCUAUUUUGGGAUG
rnacentral:lncRNA from 1 species